UAUUGUUAUUAUUUUUUUAUGUGGCGCUGAGGAUCAAACCCAGCGUCCCGCACAUGGGAGGCGCGCGCACUACCGCUUGAGCCACAUCCCCAGCCUGGAGCAUUCCUUAAAUAGAGUGUAGUGAUUCAUAAUAAUGAUCAGUAAAAGACUCAGGGAUAAGUUUCAUUAGAAGAGUAGUUGAAACUUAUUAUAGCAUAUUAGGAAACUAUUUACCCUUUUAAUACAGAGAUUAGAUAAACAAAUGAAAAACAGUUUCAGGAUACUCCUAAAAUUAGGGAACAUGUUGUGAAGGACCAACAAUGACCAUAGUGGUUGUAAAUGCAGAAAAAAUAAUGUGGGAGAUAAGGGAAUCAAAGUGAAUAGAAACAGUUGUUUAGAAGAUUGUUGCUUUGUUAGUAGAUUAUAGGUAUGGGACUUUCUGACUCAAAGGGAACACGUAUAUUUAUUUAGCUUAUAAUGAAAGUGCUAAUAUUUGGCAAGCAAAAUACCUUAUGUAGCAUGGUACACAUAAUAAUUAUAAAAAUAUAAAUAUAAAAUUAGAGAAAAAUUAGUAAGUGUGAAUAAGAAGUUAAAUAUGUAUUUUUCAUUUUUUAUCCACUUUGCAUGAGAAUUUCUACCUCUAGCUUAGUAGGUCAAACAACCUCUCAUAAAAAUUAUAUGUAAUCCCAUAGUUCACCAGCAUUAGGGGCAGGCUUGUCCAGACACAGAAGAAAAGAUGCACGCAAAGUAGGAAACAAUAACAAUAAAAUUCAUACUACAAGAAAAGCCAUUGAACAUAUCCCAUCAUAUUUUCAUCUUAAAGGUAAUAUUAUUCCCAUUCGCAUAUUUCAAAACUUAAGUCAAAAAAUGAUUUCCCCAUAUAUAUUGGUACAGAAAUUUGACCCUGUUCAUCAAACUAUAAAUCUUAAGCUCUUAACAAUAAAGACUACUCUUAUAAAGUAAUCCUGAAAACUCUGAUGUUACAAUGAGAAUAAUUUGGUUAAGAAUUUUUAAAGUAUUGAUUGACAAAAAUGUGGAUAAAUUAUAGCAACAUAUGCAUUGAACUACAAAUGCAUAUUAGUAAAAAUUUAUAGCAAUUUAUUUUUGAUAGCAAUGUGGAGAAUCAUCAAAUAAUGUCAAAAUUUCAGUGAGACAAAUAGCAAUGAAAUUUGAAACCACUUGUAUGACAAAUGCUCUUGCAGACCUUGUUGACCAAGAUUUACUUGCACAACCAGACUUUGCCAAAGCAGGAAAUAGGUGUAAUAUAUAUACAAGUCUGACUUCUCUCUCUCCACCUUGUUACAACAGAUGAAACAAAUAUUUCAUCCUGUUCUGAGAAUCAACGGUAAGUGGUAUUUCCUUUACUUCAGGAUGAAUAUUUUAUUAUGCCAAUUUA
rnacentral:lncRNA from 1 species